GGGGGUAUAGCUCAGUGGUAGAGCGUUUGACUGCAGCUUCAAGGGGCUUUGGUUCAAAUCCAAAUGCCCCCU